rnacentral:rRNA from 1 species
GACGAACGCUGGCGGCGUGCUUAACACAUGCAAGUCGAACGGAAAGGCCUCUUUCGGGGGGUACUCGAGUGGCGAACGGGUGAGUAACGCGUGAGUAACCUGCCCUUGACUUUGGGAUAACUUCAGGAAACUGGGGCUAAUACCGGAUAGGAGCUCCUGCUGCAUGGUGGGGGUUGGAAAGUUUCGGCGGUUGGGGAUGGACUCGCGGCUUAUCAGCUUGUUGGUGGGGUAGUGGCUUACCAAGGCUUUGACGGGUAGCCGGCCUGAGAGGGUGACCGGCCACAUUGGGACUGAGAUACGGCCCAGACUCCUACGAGAGGCAGCAGUGGGGAAUAUUGCACAAUGGGUGGAAGCCUGAUGCAGCAACGCCGUGUGCGGGAUGACGGCCUUCGGGUUGUAAACCGCUUUCGCUCAUGACGAAGCUUUGUGUGACGGUAGUGGGUAAAGAAGCACCGGCUAACUACGUG